rnacentral:rRNA from 1 species
GUGGGGAAUCUUAGACAAUGGGCGCAAGCCUGAUCUAGCCAUGCCGCGUGAGCGAUGAAGGCCUUAGGGUUGUAAAGCUCUUUCAGGGGGGAAGAUAAUGACGGUACCCCCAGAAGAAGCCCCGGCUAACUCCGUGCCAGCAGCCGCGGUAAUACGGAGGGGGCUAGCGUUGUUCGGAAUUACUGGGCGUAAAGCGCGCGUAGGCGGACUGAAAAGUUGGGGGUGAAAUCCCGGGGCUCAACCUCGGAACUGCCUUCAAAACUAUCAGUCUGGAGUUCGAGAGAGGUGAGUGGAAUUCCGAGUGUAGAGGUGAAAUUCGUAGAUAUUCGGAGGAACACCAGUGGCGAAGGCGGCUCACUGGCUCGAUACUGACGCUGAGGUGCGAAAGCGUGGGGAGCAAACAGGAUUAGAAACCCCUGUAGUCC